GACGAACGCUGGCGGCGUGCCUAAUACAUGCAAGUCGAGCGAACCAAUAAGAAGCUUGCUUUUUGUUGGUUAGCGGCGGACGGGUGAGUAACACGUGGGUAACCGUGCCUGUAAGACCGGGAUAACUCCGGGAAACCGGCGCUAAUACCGGAUAGAUUAUCUUUCCGCCUGGAGAGAUAAGGAAAGAUGGCUAUUGCCAUCACUUACAGAUGGGCCCGCGGCGCAUUAGCUAGUUGGUGAGGAACGGCUCACCAAGGCGACGAUGCGUAGCCGACCUGAGAGGGU
rnacentral:rRNA from 1 species